UACGUAGGGCGCAAGCGUUGUUCGGAAUUACUGGGCGUAAAGGGCUCGUAGGCGGCCAACUAAGUCAGACGUGAAAUCCCUCGGCUUAACCGGGGAACUGCGUCUGAUACUGGAUGGCUUGAGAUUGGGAGAGGGAUGCGGAAUUCCAGGUGUAGCGGUGAAAUGCGUAGAUAUCUGGAGGAACACCGGUGGCGAAGGCGGCAUCCUGGACCAACACUGACACUGAGGAGCGAAAGCCAGGGGAGCAAACGGG
rnacentral:rRNA from 1 species